GAUCAGUUCCAAUCUGUUUAAUCUAGAAAGAGACUCCUCUUUCUUCCACCUUCACUAUUUCAAGCUAAAAUCAUACUCAGAACAGAGAUGUUUGGCCAAACAACACCAUACAUAAAAUAUUUCAUUUGAUCCUCUUCAUUUUUUUCUCCACUUUUCUUGCUUGUUAGCAUUUAAUUUUCGUCAGUUUAUAAUGGUAAUAUUACUGGAAUCGUAAGUGAGAGAAGUGGUGAAAUCAAAAUUGAAGAUAAACUCUGUCAUAGUCAAAACCAAAGAUGGAUGCUUUCUUGAAGGGAUUUCCACACCUUUUUAGGUUGCAAGUGAAAAGAUGAUGAUGAUGGGAAGUGGUGGUUCCAUGGGAGUUGUUGAGGGUGGAGCCCAAUUACCAUGGCACCGUGUGGGUAGAGUUACAUGCAAUGAUUCUUCUUUUGUUUAGAGACACGAGAAGGAGAGGAAGAAGCAAGCAAAGUUGGGACAGCUAAUGGUUGGUGUGAGUGGGGCACGGAGAAGAUAGUUUAUGGAAAAAAAUUUGGUGUCGAGUGUCUAUGAUAAAACUAUAUUCUCCACUUUAUCUAAUGGCCAAUAUUUACUUUCCCAUGGUGGGAAACAACUUUCCAUUCCCAUACUAAAGUACGAAACAAUCGUGUUUUAUUUGGUACAAGUACAAAACAAACAUUUAGCAAUCAUCUUUUAACUUCCUGUAUUUUAUUUCACAAGUAGUGUGUCCGAAUAAAAUUGUUUUU
rnacentral:lncRNA from 1 species